ACAGUCACUGACAUUAGAUACCCCCGGUAGUCCAGGGUGUAAACGCUGCAGACUUGGUGUUGGAAGCCCUUUGGGGGCAUUCAGUGCCGGAGAGAAGUUGUUAAGUCUGCUACUUGGGAGUACGUCCGCAAGGAUGAAACUUAAAGGAAUUGGCGGGGGGGCACCGCAACGGGAGGAGCGUGCGGUUUAAUUGGAUUCAACACCGUAAAACUCACCAGGGAAGACUGUUACAUGAAGGCCGAGAUGAAGACUCUGCUAGAUUUUCAG
rnacentral:rRNA from 1 species